GCUUUUUUAGUAUAAUAAAGUAUAUUUGCCUUCCAAGCAAAAGGUUUAAUAUUUUAAAAAAAGUA
rnacentral:tRNA from 2 species